CCUACGGGAGGCAGCAGUGGGGAAUAUUGCACAAUGGGGGGAACCCUGAUGCAGCGACGCCGCGUGAGCGAGGAAGUAUUUCGGUAUGUAAAGCACUAUCAGCAGGGACGAAAAAAGAGGGUACCGGACUAAGAAGCCCCGGCUAACUACGUGCCAGCAGCCGCGGUAAAAAGUAGGGGGCAAGGGUUAUCCGGAUUUCAGGGGUGGAAAGGGAGAGUAGACGGCAAGGCAAGCCAGAGGUGAAAGGGCAGGGAUAAACCCUGUACAUGCUUUUGAAACUGUGGUGUUAGAGUGCAGGAGAGGUAAGUGGAAUUCCUAGUGUAGCGGUGAAAUGCGUAGAUAUUAGGAGGAACACCAGUGGCGAAGGCGGCUUACUGGACUUUAACUGACGUUGAGGCUCGAAAGCGUGGGGAGCAAACAGGAUUAGAUACCCCAGUAGUC
rnacentral:rRNA from 1 species